CAAUAGCGUAUAUUAAUGUUGUUGCAGUUAAAAGCUCGUAGUUGGAUUCCUGGCACGGGGUAGCCGGUCCGCCUUGCAAAAGGUGCGCACUGCGCGGCCUCGGCCAUCCUUGGGAAGAGCGGUCCUGGCAUUAAGUUGUCGGGGGUCGGGAUUCCCGACGUUUACUGUGAAAAAAUCAGAGUGUUCAAACGCAGGCUUACGCCUUGAAUACAUUAGCAUGGAAUAAUGAGAUAGGACCUUGGCGGUCUAUUUUGCUGGUUUGCACGCCGAGGUAAUGAUUAAAAAGGGACGGUUGGGGUUCUUCGUAUUCAAAUUGUCAGAGGUGAAAUUCUUGGAUUUAUGGAAGACGAACUGCUGCGAAAAGCGUCGAACAAAGGACGUUCUCAU
rnacentral:rRNA from 1 species